ACAUAAACUCAUUACUUUUUAAUACAACGUAAUGGACUUCCAAUUUUUUUAAUAGCAUAAAUUCAUUACCUUUUUUACAUAACAUACUGUUAUCCAUAUUUCCAAACAACACUAUUUUUUUAACUACUAUCUAUGUUGCCAAACAAAAGUUUGAAGUACUUCUGCUUUAAUAAGAUAGAUUAAUAUAACGUAAUAGACUUCCAAUUUUUUUAAUAGCAUAAAUUCAUGGGAAAUUGUCAAAAAUAACACUUUGAAGAUAUCACUUUUCAUUUCUACCUUAAACAAUUUUACCAUUAAAAUUUUAAUUUGCAAAGUACCUCUUUACCCUUAGCUAAUUAAAUCUAAAACUACUUUUUUUCCUAGGAUUUCUUCAGAUCUCAGAUCCACGAAAUUGAAUAUAUCCGAUGAUCAAAGCCGACGAGAUUGGCCAAUUCUGAAGAGUACUCUGGCGAGAUUCGACGACGAUAGCGAGUUUUCCGGCGAGAUUUGACGACGUUGACGAAUUCUCUGGCUAGUUCUCCGGCGAGAUUUGACGAGGACUACAACCUCAAAUGGUUUUCAGAAUCUAUCACCAUUGUCGAUCAAUCCGUUCAUGAGCUAUGCAGUUUAGUAUCAGACUCCGUUCUGGAACUCUCCCGCGGUUUGCUCGAGCUCCAAUCUGCACUCGAAGGGUUUUUGAUUCUUAUCGGUUACGAACAGAAACAUGGGGAUUGGAAGUUCAAUUCGACCGAGAAUCAUCCGUUUGUGAGGGUAUGUGAUACACAUAGUCGUUCCUCAUGCCGUCAUGAAGCACUGCCGGUAUUCAGAUUGCUUAUGCGGUGUCUUAAGGCUAGCUGUGUGAUGUUGAACAAAGGCAAGCAUAUAGUUGAAGUUGUUUCUAUGUUGGUCACUAUCCUUCAGUACCAAGCUUAUCUAUAAGAAACCAUACUCUAAGAAACUACAUUACUGAUGAUGCUUAUCACUGGAAAGAGAAUUUGUAGUUUGCUUGGUCCGUCCACGAACUGGGUGCGUCCGGUUCAGUCCUAGUUCAACAAUGUGCCUUCUGUAGCUGUCAAACUCAAGGUUUAGACCUAUUCAUAGUGCCGGUUAUGCACUGGAACAUGUGGCCUUGGAAUAUCUAGUAGUUAUUGUAUUCAUAUGCUUCUUUAUGAAAGAGUUUUUUGGUGCAUAAUCUAAUAUAUUUUUAGGUUAUGAACCAAUCAUUUUGAUUA